UAGUGGCGGACGGGUGAGUAACGCGUGGGUAACCUGCCUCACACUGGGGAUAACAGUUAGAAAUAGCUGCUAAUACCGCAUAAGCGCACAGUUCCGCAUGGAACAGUGUGAAAAACUCCGGUGGUGUGAGAUGGACCCGCGUCUGAUUAGCCAGUUGGCGGGGUAACGGCCCACCAAAGCGACGAUCAGUAGCCGGCCUGAGAGGGUGAACGGCCACAUUGGGACUGAGACACGGCCCAAACUCCUACGGGAGGCAGCAUG
rnacentral:rRNA from 1 species